rnacentral:rRNA from 1 species
CCUACGGGUGACUGCAGUGGGGAAUAUUGGACAAUGGGCGAAAGCCUGAUCCAGCCAUGCCGCGUGUGUGAAGAAGGCCUUCGGGUUGUAAAGCACUUUCAGUGGGGAAGAAAGCCUUGGGGCUAAUACCCUCGAGGAAGGACAUCACCCACAGAAGAAGCACCGGCUAACUCCGUGCCAGCAGCCGCGGUAAUACGGAGGGUGCGAGCGUUAAUCGGAAUUACUGGGCGUAAAGCGCGCGUAGGCGGUCUGAUAAGCCGGUUGUGAAAGCCCCGGGCUCAACCUGGGAACGGCAUCCGGAACUGUCAGGCUAGAGUGCAGGAGAGGAAGGUAGAAUUCCCGGUGUAGCGGUGAAAUGCGUAGAGAUCGGGAGGAAUACCAGUGGCGAAGGCGGCCUUCUGGACUGACACUGACGCUGAGGUGCGAAAGCGUGGGUAGCAAACAGGAUUAGAUACCCUAGUAGUC